rnacentral:rRNA from 1 species
UCUCUAUGCGGUGCCUGCCGCCGCGGUAAUACGAAGGGGGCUAGCGUUGUUCGGAAUUACUGGGCGUAAAGCGCACGUAGGCGGAUCGAUCAGUCUAGGGGUGAAAUCCCAGAGCUCAACUCUGGAACUGCCUUUGAUACUGUCGAUCUAGAGGUAUGGAAGAGGUGAGUGGAAUUCCGAGUGUAGAGGUGAAAUUCGUAGAUAUUCGGAGGAACACCAGUGGCGAAGGCGGCUCACUGGUCCAUUACUGACGCUGAGGUGCGAAAGCGUGGGGANCAAACAGGAUUAGAUACCCUGGUAGUCCACGCCGUAAACGAUGAAUGUUAGCCGUCGGGCAGUUUACUGUUCGGUGGCGCAGCUAACGCAUUAAAC